UCCCAGACUCCUACGGGAGGCAGCAGUGAGGAAUAUUGGUCAAUGGGCGGGAGCCUGAACCAGCCAUGCCGCGUGAAGGCGAGUGCCCUACGGGCGUUAAACUUCUUUUGUGCGGGAGCAAUAAGGGCCACGUGUGGCCCGAUGAGAGUACCGCACGAAUAAGCAUCGGCUAACUCCGUGCCAGCAGCCGCGGUAAUACGGAGGAUGCGAGCGUUAUCCGGAUUUAUUGGGUUUAAAGGGUGCGUAGGCGGACGCUUAAGUCAGCGGUAAAAUUGCGGGGCUCAACCUCGUCGAGCCGUUGAAACUGGGUGCCUUGAGUGGGCGAGAAGUACGCGGAAUGCGUGGUGUAGCGGUGAAAUGCAUAGAUAUCACGCAGAACUCCGAUUGCGAAGGCAGCGUACCGGCGCCCAACUGACGCUGAAGCACGAAGGCGUGGGUAUCGAACAGGAUUAGAUACCCCAGUAA
rnacentral:rRNA from 1 species